rnacentral:rRNA from 1 species
AGAGUUUGAUCCUGGCUCAGGAUGAACGCUAGCGACAGGCCUAACACAUGCAAGUCGAGGGGCAGCGGGGAGGUAGCAAUACCUUUGCCGGCGACCGGCGCACGGGUGAGUAACACGUAUGCAAUCCACCUGUAACAGGGGGAUAACCCGGAGAAAUCCGGACUAAUACCCCAUAAUAUGGGCGCUCCGCAUGGAGAGUCCAUUAAAGAGAGCAAUCUUGGUUACAGACGAGCAUGCGCUCCAUUAGCCAGUUGGCGGGGUAACGGCCCACCAAGGCGACGAUGGAUAGGGGUUCUGAGAGGAAGGUCCCCCACAUUGGAACUGAGACACGGUCCAAACUCCUACGGGAGGCAGCAGUGAGGAAUAUUGGUCAAUGGUCGGCAGACUGAACCAGCCAAGUCGCGUGAGGGAAGACGGCCCUACGGGUUGUAAACCUCUUUUGUCGGAGAGUAAAGUGCGCUACGCGUAGCGUAUUGCAAGUAUCCGAAGAAAAAGCAUCGGCUAACUCCGUGCCAGCAGCCGCGGUAAUACGGAGGAUGCGAGCGUUAUCCGGAUUUAUUGGGUUUAAAGGGUGCGUAGGCGGCACGCCAAGUCAGCGGUGAAAUUUCCGGGCUCAACCCGGACUGUGCCGUUGAAACUGGCGAGCUAGAGUGCACAAGAGGCAGGCGGAAUGCGUGGUGUAGCGGUGAAAUGCAUAGAUAUCACGCAGAACCCCGAUUGCGAAGGCAGCCUGCUAGGGUGCGACAGACGCUGAGGCACGAAAGCGUGGGUAUCGAACAGGAUUAGAUACCCUGGUAGUCCACGCAGUAAACGAUGAAUACUAACUGUUUGCGAUACAAUGUAAGCGGUACAGCGAAAGCGUUAAGUAUUCCACCUGGGGAGUACGCCGGCAACGGUGAAACUCAAAGGAAUUGACGGGGGCCCGCACAAGCGGAGGAACAUGUGGUUUAAUUCGACGCAACGCGAAGAACCUUACCAGGUCU